UUCCCCUCACUCUGCUCGCCCCAUUCUCAUCCACUCCCACGGCCUCGCCCAGCCGCCACGGAGGCUGCUUCAAUCUCUCGUUACGCCUCGCUCCACAUGCCCUUCCUUCCUUCCCUCCUCAAUGCCUACCUUCACUGGUGCGUUCUCGGCUGAGCCAGAGUGGACACUUCAGCACUGGCUCCGCGGCUAUGUUGAGGAGAUCAAAUUGAUGGAUCGAGGGGGCAGGAGGUGGAGGACGGCACGCGGUGGCGGGGAUGGAUGUGCCGGCGAUGGGGACGCUAUUGGGAAUCCGGCGCCAACAGGUCGCGUCGCGGCUCGACGUUCCCGACGGCUGCCCACGGCACACAGGUCGCCCGUGCCCCCGUCGGGCUCCAAGACCGCCACAACGGCGGAAUGGCCCCGCCUCUGUCGACUGGUGUAGUUUGGACAGGAGCAAGUGCGCCAAUCAAUUCUGAUGCGGUGAGAUGCACAGGGAGGCUUGCAUCGGCAAGGCUAGCAGGAGGCCGUGCUCAGGAGGGACCGGAGGUCUGCGCGACGACGACGUAUCUUCACCAAGGAGUUUGGAGGCAAUGCAGCAGUGGUGAAGGCGAUGGUUGUGCCGGGUGCAGGCAGGUGCAGACGGGGUGAAUUGAGUUCAGAUCUUUGAACAAAUGAUUGUGAUUUUGUAGCUGCAGGGUGCUAUUCUUUAUUAUUACUUGGCAUGUGGGACAUCUGAAAACAAUGAAAUACGUCGCCAUUGUGAAGCCUUCUAUAUAACUUCUCAAAGAAAUACCAAAACUAUGGUACGUUUGAUGUUGACCUGGAUUUGCACCAUGCAGAAUAUUGUUUUUACCUUUAGCAGUUACCUAGGUCUUAUACAGAUGAUCAACGCAAUGGAAAAACGACCAUACAUCCGAGACUGAUAGUAGUGGAUGUUAGGGCUGUGCGUUUGCUGCUCGAGAACUGUGUUUGCUGACCUGUGUUGUGGCAGCUAACCAUUUUCCAUCGGAGAUGAACGGAAGUGCAUAAAACCUGCCGCCCAAAGGUGAGAACUUGCGUGCGCUGACCUGUGCUGUGGCAGGAAGGACAUCAGCGCCUCCCUCUCACUUCGUAGUUUCAGGUGCGCAUCUUCAAGGAUGCUCGCCAAGCGCUGGAGCACGCUGAAGCAGGGUUCGCCGCCCCGACUGAAUCGGGAAUACUCGCCGCCGCCUUGGAACCUUGACGAUGAUUGGUGUUGUAUUUGGAAUGAUUGGAUGAUUCAUAUAAGGCAUUAAUUAUUUUUAAUUGAUUGAUUGUGGCCACGAUCUGAAUAGACAUGUUAGGAAAGUGGUGAUGUGGAAGGAAAUAGUGGAUAGAGAUCGAUUCUGGUACGUGAGGGAAGUAGGCUCAGGAUGGAAAAUAUAACGUGGCGAUGUGAGUUGACGAUGUUUUUUUCCUGCUUAUUUGUCUGACGGGUUCUGCGGGUGGAGAAAAAAUAGGUGGGGAUGGGAAGGCGAACGUGCGAGGUGGAUGCCUUCUAUCGAUGGGAGGGAUGCGAACCAACGAAACAACGUACGGACUGCCACAGAUAUAGAUGCGCGGAUUUUUCCUUAAAUUCUGUUAUUUGUUUCCUUCAAAUUCGUUAUUUUAUCUAUAUCUAUACCUACCUACUUCUUGGUUUCGUCCCGCUAGAUGAUUUUAUCUUUUGUUAAAAAUAUAUCCUAAAUGCUUAAUCGUGCAGCUGCGCGAUUCGGUCGCGCUGAGCGCACGCGCUACCCGACAAGGCCGCUAGAAACCAACCGCUUCACUCUCUUCCUUCUCCAGAAAAAAGCCUUAUCCCAAUCCAAUCCCCUUUUCCUCGUCUACAUUUAGUCCGACCAGUGCUCAGGCGAAGCAUAGGAGCGCUGCCGUCGACGACCUGGCGGUCGUGGAGGAGGCAGUGCACCGGAGGAGCUCGGCGAUCAGGUCGGCCGGGGAGCCGGAGCAGCAGCACUCCCGUCCCCCGUCCACCCAGCGGCCCCCGGCCCCGCAACCCCGUCGAGGAAGGGCCGCAACGGAGCUCACGCCGGAGGGCGACCUUCUGCUCAGGUCAGCUGGCCGCGGUACAGCCGUGUGGUCCGCCGGCACCAAGGGUCGCUCCGCCGCUGUUACGCGCAUCAGCAGCAAAGACAACUUCGUGAGAUAGCCUCUGGCGUGGAGCUGUUCGACCCAGGCAGCGAAUGACAAGUCACCUCACGGUGGAAACUGGCGCGCAGAAGGUUUUUCCUUUUCUGGGCUGUCCUGACGCCGACGCGCGGUAGGGCUUUCCUGUCGGGGAGGACGCUCGUGCGCCAGGUAGCCAGAUGAUAAAGUCCUGAAUGCUGGACUUGAACUGGAACUCUUGAGCUAUAGGGCCUCUCAACAAGCCCCAGCAUAUGAGAAUGCACCCUACAGAUGAGUUGGUCCACAAGCAAUUAUGCUUAAAGUUUAUGAUUAAUUACAAAGGAGCUAUUGAUUACCAGAAUUAUAUUGCUUUCAAUGAACAACAAUUGUGGCCAUCAACUAUGUUUCUUCCAGGCCUCAAGAACACCACAGCCAGACACAAGUCGGAGGUAACGGUCAUUCCAUUUGCGUAUGGGUAAUGCAAAAAGCAAAGCCGGUGAACAUCAACAAAAAGAGGACGUAGCUACAGGUCAGGCGAGUGGUAAAAAUGUUGAAGAAUACAGUGCAACCUUUGAUACUGAAAAAGAUGAAGCUAUUUGCGCAACAGAACGCGCCCCUACGAGCGAGACAAAUCUGAAAGAAUAUAAUCCAAGCAUCUAAACCGUAGCUGCAAAUCUUGACCCAAUUUACACGACGGAAACAGAUGGAUCAGAAUGGGUAAGGCCUGGAUACCAUGCUGAUGGUCAAACAUUUGCGGCUACGGCUAAUCUAACACUAGAUCAUGCUAUUAAUAAGAUGCAGCUGCGAGAUGAUACUGAAGACGACACAGCUUCCGAACUGCUUGAAACUGUUUCUCUAAAUAAUGAAUGCAAAAAAUACGCUGAGGAAGCAAGGGAGCAGUACAAUGCAAGGAGGCGUGCAGCUUAUCGGAAGAAAAAUAAUGAGGAUAUUGUCAGCUUACAAGAUGAGAAUCAGCCGGUACUUGCAAAAUCUGAUCAUAGGGAUCUUAUCAACGCUCGUAGGCGGGUGGCUUAUCGCAAUAACAAGUCAGAUGGUUCGGCUAACCAACAAGUCAAUGGGAAGUCAUCCCGUCCCCAGUCUCUAUGUGAUAUCACAAAUGUUCUCGAAGAUAGGGAGAUAAAUAAACCCACACGAGAUUAUCAUGCUAGCUAGGACUAUACAUCAGUCUCGCCUAAUGAUGUAACAUACCCUCAUGAAGCUACGGUCACAUCGGGUGUCCUUUGUGUGGGAGAUAAAGAAGAAUAUUUUUCCAAAGUAGACCAAAGAAACGCCCUGGAAAGGGCUUCCUGUUGGCGGAAAAAACAACCUAAUGUCCGAGAUGAAAAUGCACAUGCCCUUCAUUCACC